rnacentral:tRNA from 1 species
GGAGCUGUAGCUUAGGGUCAGAGCUCUUGCCUAGCAUGCAUGAGGCAUUGGGUUUGAUCUCCCAGUACCA